UACGUAGGGUGCAAGCGUUGUCCGGAAUUAUUGGGCGUAAAGAGCUCGUGGGCGGUCUGUUGCGUCGGCUGUGAAAACCCGGGGCUCAACCCCGGGCCUGCAGCCGAUACGGGCAGACUAGAGUUCGGCAGGGGAGACUGGAAUUCCUGGUGUAGCGGUGAAAUGCGUAGAGAUCGGGAGGAACACCAGUGGCGAAGGCGGCUCGCUGGGCCGGACCUGACGCUGAGACGCGAAAGCGUGGGGAGCGAUCCGG
rnacentral:rRNA from 1 species